AUUUCAAAGGACAGGCUGACUCUCUUGUUAGGGUCUGACGCAGCUUUUGACUUGAGUUGACAACAGAGCUCAUUUACCUUUCCAAAAAUGAUAGGGCCCUUAAAAAGUUUACUAAAUCUAGCCUGCCUCUGCUCCAUAAGUGAAACAGCAAAGCCUGGAUGACAGGACAUCUGUUGGCAAUAUAGUUUACUGAAUAUUUUAAGCCUACUGCUGAGAUCUACUGCUCAGAAAACAAACAAACAAAAAAACAACAACAAAAUUUAUUUUAAAUUACUACUGUUCAUUGACAGAGCACUUGGUCACCCGAAAGCUCUGAUGAAGAUACAAUGAGAUUCAUGAUGUUUCCAUGCCCGCUUAUACAACAUCCAUUCUAUACAACAUCCAUUUGGCAGUCCAUGAAUGAAGGAAUAAUGUUAACUUUCAAGGUUCAUUAUUUAAAAAAUAUAUUUUAUGAGGCUAUAGAUGCCAUAGAUAGUGAUUCAUCUGAUGGAUCUGGGGAAAGUAAAUUGAAGACACUUCUAUAAAGGAUUCACCAUUCUAGGUGCCAUUAAGAAUAUUCUUGACUCAUAGGAAGAGACCAAAGUAUCAAUGUUAAUGGGAGUUUGAAAUAAGUUGAUUCCAGCCCUAAUGGAUGACUUGGAGGGGUUCAUAACUACAAUGGAGAAAGUAACUGUAGAUGUAGUAGAAACAGCAAGAGAACUAGAAAUUGAGUCUGAAGAUGUGACUGAAUUGCUGCAAUCUCGUGAUAAAACUUGAAUGGAUGAGGAGUUACUUCUUAUCGGUGAACAAAGAAAGAGGUUUCUUGAGAUGGAAUCUAUUCCUGGUGAGGAUGCUGUAAAGACUGUUGAAAUGACAAUAAAGGAUUUAUAAUAUUACAUAGACUUAGUUGAUAAAGCAGUGGCAGGGUUGGGAGAAUUGACUCCAAUUUUGAGAGGGUUCUGUGGGUAAAAUGCUACCAAGCAGCAUUGCCUGUUACAGAGAAAUUAUUCAUAAAAGGAAGAGUCCAUAAAGGACUUCCCUGGCAGUCCAGUGGUUAAGAUUUCAUGCUUCUGAUGUAGAGGGAAGGCACAGGUUUGGUCUCUGGUUGGGGAACUAAGAUCCUGUAUGUCACAUAAUGCAGUCCAAAAAAAAAGCAAGAGGAGUUCAUUGAUGCAGUAAACUUUAUUGUUGUCUUAUUUUAAGAAAUUGUCAUCUUUAGUAACCACUUCCCUGAUCCGUCAGCACCAUCAGCAUCAAGGUCACCACAGAGCAUUGAGUAGAGUUCCCUGUGCUAAACAGUUUAUUAUGCUUUGCUCAAGUCAGUGGGGAGGCUGUCAUAUUUGCCUUGUGAAAGGACUUAACAUAUGAUGGUGAUACUACUAAUUUGGAUUGGUUACCAGAUUCGAGAUUUUGGCCAUUGAUAAAGUUUCAUUUCUAAAAAUACAAUAUUAUAAAAGAAUCUUUCCACAAAGAGGCCUCAUCCUUUUU